CCCCCACCCCCCGCGUGAGGGGAGCCGGCGCCAUCUUCCCCCUCACGGGCCGUGCUGCCCGUGGGCGGCGGGAUGGGGUCACCGGGCGUUGGGGUUUUAGACUCGUCAAUGUCAGAAGAGACCCGCAGGACCAUCCACAGUCCGACUGUCAGCGCAGCAGCACCACGAAACUACAUCGGGUGCCUCUUCCAACACCUCCAGGCAGCGUGACUCCACCACCUCCCUGGGGUGCACUGGAACAAAGCUGAUCAUCCCAGCAGAUAUUUCUGCCCACGCUGGCCUUAACAUAAAAGAGGAGGAAAAGCCAUAGGCAAGCUCAUCAAACAUGCCUAGGAAUGGACAACAUUAAAUUAAUUGUUUGAAACCAUGUUUCUCCCUCUACAAGCUGCAUUUUCCACUUUAAAUAUUCACAGGCCAGUGUUUUCCCCAGAUUUCACAUUUGUUUCUUGCUGCGUGCAUUCCAAGACUUAGUUGUCUCUUUUUUUGAUUGUUUUUUUCAGCAGAGCUGGAGCUGGAGAAGGAGAAGCCAUUUAACGUGGAGCCGUGGAACAGAUGUUGAGCACUCCACUUGUAGGCUCACAAAGCCAGGACAUCUGUUAGAAAUAUGUGAGCAGAGAGGCCAUUAAGCCUCUUAGAUGCUGCCGUGAUCCUCUGCCUUUCCUACAUCCUCUUCCAAGUUACACUGAGGUGUAAGGGAAUAGUCCCAUCCCUCACCACCUCCACCAUUCCCAGUCCAUGUUUUUCUGCUUCCAGCCUGGUGCUUCCACACAGUUGAUUCAGGAUCAUUGACCCAAGCAGGUUCUUUUUUUGUUUCAGGGUUUUCAGGACAAAAAGGAAGGGGGGUGAGCUUUUUGUUGGCCUCUUCACAGAGCAGCAGAGAUUUCUCUUAGCAUCAGCCUCCCUCGCAGGGUCCUGCUACAGGCUGGUGUGGCAGAGCAGUUUAACGCAGAACAACCAGAAACAACACAUGGUGAAGCACUGACCCAUAAUGCAAUUAGCAGCCUUCCCCAGAAGCAUUUUUCAAUACCCCAGGGCACUCAGAAUUUGCUGACUGUUUGAUUUGUGCUGCCCCAAAUUCC